UGGCAGUCAGAGGCGAUGAAGGACGUGCUAAUCUGCGAUAAGCGUCGGUGAGGUGAUAUGAACCGUUAUAACCGGCGAUUUCCGAAUGGGGAAACCCAGUGUGUUUCGACACACUAUCAUUAACUGAAUCCAUAGGUUAAUGAGGCGAACCGGGGGAACUGAAACAUCUAAGUACCCCGAGGAAAAGAAAUCAACCGAGAUUCCCCCAGUAGCGGCGAGCGAACGGGGAGGAGCCCAGAGCCUGAAUCAGUGUGUGUGUUAGUGGAAGCGUCUGGAAAGGCGCGCGAUACAGGGUGACAGCCCCGUACACAAAAAUGCACAUAUUGUGAGCUCGAUGAGUAGGGCGGGACACGUGGUAUCCUGUCUGAAUAUGGGGGGACCAUCCUCCAAGGCUAAAUACUCCUGACUGACCGAUAGUGAACCAGUACCGUGAGGGAAAGGCGAAAAGAACCCCGGCGAGGGGAGUGAAAAAGAACCUGAAACCGUGUACGUACAAGCAGUGGGAGCCUCUUUAUGGGGUGACUGCGUACCUUUUGUAUAAUGGGUCAGCGACUUAUAUUCUGUAGCAAGGUUAACCGAAUAGGGGAGCCGAAGGGAAACCGAGUCUUAACUGGGCGUUAAGUUGCAGGGUAUAGACCCGAAACCCGGUGAUCUAGCCAUGGGCAGGUUGAAGGUUGGGUAACACUAACUGGAGGACCGAACCGACUAAUGUUGAAAAAUUAGCGGAUGACUUGUGGCUGGGGGUGAAAGGCCAAUCAAACCGGGAGAUAGCUGGUUCUCCCCGAAAGCUAUUUAGGUAGCGCCUCGUGAAUUCAUCUCCGGGGGUAGAGCACUGUUUCGGCAAGGGGGUCAUCCCGACUUACCAACCCGAUGCAAACUGCGAAUACCGGAGAAUGUUAUCACGGGAGACACACGGCGGGUGCUAACGUCCGUCGUGAAGAGGGAAACAACCCAGACCGCCAGCUAAGGUCCCAAAGUCAUGGUUAAGUGGGAAACGAUGUGGGAAGGCCCAGACAGCCAGGAUGUUGGCUUAGAAGCAGCCAUCAUUUAAAGAAAGCGUAAUAGCUCACUGGUCGAGUCGGCCUGCGCGGAAGAUGUAACGGGGCUAAACCAUGCACCGAAGCUGCGGCAGCGACACUAUGUGUUGUUGGGUAGGGGAGCGUUCUGUAAGCCUGUGAAGGUGGCCUGUGAGGGUUGCUGGAGGUAUCAGAAGUGCGAAUGCUGACAUAAGUAACGAUAAAGCGGGUGAAAAGCCCGCUCGCCGGAAGACCAAGGGUUCCUGUCCAACGUUAAUCGGGGCAGGGUGAGUCGACCCCUAAGGCGAGGCCGAAAGGCGUAGUCGAUGGGAAACAGGUUAAUAUUCCUGUACUUGGUGUUACUGCGAAGGGGGGACGGAGAAGGCUAUGUUGGCCGGGCGACGGUUGUCCCGGUUUAAGCGUGUAGGCUGGUUUUCCAGGCAAAUCCGGAAAACCAAGGCUGAGGCGUGAUGACGAGGCACUACGGUGCUGAAGCGACAAAUGCCCUGCUUCCAGGAAAAGCCUCUAAGCAUCAGGUAACAUCAAAUCGUACCCCAAACCGACACAGGUGGUCAGGUAGAGAAUACCAAGGCGCUUGAGAGAACUCGGGUGAAGGAACUAGGCAAAAUGGUGCCGUAACUUCGGGAGAAGGCACGCUGAUAUGUAGGUGAAGCGACUUGCUCGUGGAGCUGAAAUCAGUCGAAGAUACCAGCUGGCUGCAACUGUUUAUUAAAAACACAGCACUGUGCAAACACGAAAGUGGACGUAUACGGUGUGACGCCUGCCCGGUGCCGGAAGGUUAAUUGAUGGGGUUAGCGGUAACGCGAAGCUCUUGAUCGAAGCCCCGGUAAACGGCGGCCGUAACUAUAACGGUCCUAAGGUAGCGAAAUUCCUUGUCGGGUAAGUUCCGACCUGCACGAAUGGCGUAAUGAUGGCCAGGCUGUCUCCACCCGAGACUCAGUGAAAUUGAACUCGCUGUGAAGAUGCAGUGUACCCGCGGCAAGACGGAAAGACCCCGUGAACCUUUACUAUAGCUUGACACUGAACAUUGAGCCUUGAUGUGUAGGAUAGGUGGGAGGCUUUGAAGUGUGGACGCCAGUCUGCAUGGAGCCGACCUUGAAAUACCACCCUUUAAUGUUUGAUGUUCUAACGUUGGCCCGUAAUCCGGGUUGCGGACAGUGUCUGGUGGGUAGUUUGACUGGGGCGGUCUCCUCCUAAAGAGUAACGGAGGAGCACGAAGGUUGGCUAAUCCUGGUCGGACAUCAGGAGGUUAGUGCAAUGGCAUAAGCCAGCUUGACUGCGAGCGUGACGGCGCGAGCAGGUGCGAAAGCAGGUCAUAGUGAUCCGGUGGUUCUGAAUGGAAGGGCCAUCGCUCAACGGAUAAAAGGUACUCCGGGGAUAACAGGCUGAUACCGCCCAAGAGUUCAUAUCGACGGCGGUGUUUGGCACCUCGAUGUCGGCUCAUCACAUCCUGGGGCUGAAGUAGGUCCCAAGGGUAUGGCUGUUCGCCAUUUAAAGUGGUACGCGAGCUGGGUUUAGAACGUCGUGAGACAGUUCGGUCCCUAUCUGCCGUGGGCGCUGGAGAACUGAGGGGGGCUGCUCCUAGUACGAGAGGACCGGAGUGGACGCAUCACUGGUGUUCGGGUUGUCAUGCCAAUGGCACUGCCCGGUAGCUAAAUGCGGAAGAGAUAAGUGCUGAAAGCAUCUAAGCACGAAACUUGCCCCGAGAUGAGUUCUCCCUGACUCCUUGAGAGUCCUGAAGGAACGUUGAAGACGACGACGUUGAUAGGCCGGGUGUGUAAGCGCAGCGAUGCGUUGAGCUAACCGGUACUAAUGAACCGUGAGGCUUAACCUU
rnacentral:rRNA from 2 species